UCUCUCUCUCAAAACAAAUAAAUAAACAUUAAAAAACAAAUGAAGGAGUAAAGGGUAUCCUGAAAUGAUGAUCAGUGAGAACUGAUUUUGCUUCUGACUACAUCUAACUUAUUCUGAAAGAAGGAGAUAAUGGCUCAACAUGGAACAAAAUGCCUGUGAAGAAGAAGCAGAAAAUGAGCCAAGGGGCCAGAACAGUUCAUAGAGCGAAGCUUUAGUUCCAGGCAAAUUAAUUCCACGCAUAUAGGAAAGAAAGUACCAAUGUAAAGGCAUCACCGUUUGAUAUAAAUCCCUGUCCAUAAUGACAUCAGUUUGGCUAGCAUGGCUGGGCAAGGAGAAUAGCAGCCAAGUAAAAGCAAUAGACUCUGGAGCCAGACUAUCUGGAUUCAAAUCCUAGCCCCACCACUUUCUAACCAUGUGAUCCAGGGCAAGUCCCUCCUUCCCUCUUUGACUCUGUGUUCUUAUCUGUAAAAGAAUAACAGUACUUGCCUUAUAGGGUAGUCAUGGGGAUUCAAUGAGAUCAUGUAUAUAAGGCAUGUAGAAAAGUGCCCAGCCUAUGCUAAAUACCAGAAGGAUGUUUGCUUUAUAUGUCCUUAUGAGGUACUCAGUGUGCGACCAAGAUACAGACAGUGGUUUUAUACUUAGACAUUCUUAGGGCUUUCAUAUAGGAAAAGGACACAGUAGAUUUGAUUCAUCUUAGAUGCACUUUGCUAAAUAAAGUAAUUUUUAGAUCACCUAGAUUUAUUUUAGUUUUAGAAUUUGAGUGUUAAUUUGUAAGGUCAAUCAACUAACCUGUUGCCCUGACUCAGUCCAAGGUGGAAUUUUGCUCCCAGCAAAAGGGGAUUUAGCAUAUAAAUUGAACGAUUAUCAAACAAAGACAGACUGGCCACUAUCUUGAAAAUGGGAGUGGCAAAAAAUGGGUGAUAACCCUGCCGGCAAAAUCCAAGGGAUUAGGGAAACCAACCAGGGUUUAGAGUUUGACGUAGCAAAUGUAUUUUGAGGUGAUAUUGAUAGAAAUAAAGCGUAGCUCAUAGAUUAUAGUUUGGAUAGACUUCCGCACGUUUAAAUCUUCCCUCCUGCUUUCUUCAAAGAGUUGGAAUGGAUGGUCUGUGACACAGCCUUCCAUGGAGGUAAGAGAGGCUUUAUUCCUUCAAGGCAAUUUGGUCCAACUCUGCUAGUUCAUCCAUGGGAGAAGCCUGGCAAAAUUCCAAAGGUGAUUAGUGUUGUAUCUGUUAUUUCACAGGGUGGAGUGUGUUUGGGUAGAUGGAGGGGGAAACCUAUAAUUUCAUAGCUGCUGGUUGAACAUUUCUGCUAAACUUCUUUUUAUCUUAAAAAUUGGUGAAAAGAUCUCAACAUUCAAGAUGAUACGAGGGCAUUGAACUAUCCCCAGGAUAGAAUGUACCCACAGUGGUUGCUAAAUCUUGGUGUGGUGCAGGUUGGAAGUCUCUAAAAUAUUUCCUGCAAAAUAUGAAUUACUGUUUUGGCCCAUUUUUCUAGAUCUAAAUCAACUUAAUUACUUGAAGUCUGAAGGUUUUUCCCCAUAAAUAUAAAAUCAGAAGUGAAAGCUUAACCUAGACCUUUUAGGAAAAAAGGUUGCAUUUUAAAAUCAUGCCACCACUGUCUUGUUUGGGAAGAAUACAAGUUGGGUCCAAUCAAGUGUUGAGUCAUCAACUAUUUCAGUGCCCAUAUUCAUCAUGCCUAAGAAAUAUAAGCAUUCUUAUUUUUUUAAUAGGCUCUUUGAAUCAUAUUAUAAAUGAGUACCAUGUAAAUAAAUUAGCACAACAAUCACGCCAUGCUUUUUUGUCAUCAUGGGUCAUUUUCAUCGGAUGCUUAGUGAUUUCAUUGCACUUGUGUAAUCAGGUGAAGAAGCUCCACCGGAGCAUCCAUGGGUCAGCUAUGUAGACUCUAGCUGCCAAAGGCGCUUCUCCUUCUGAACAGAGCGCUUUGCUCAGCCAGUGUAGACAUGGCCUGAUAAACAAUGGAACUUCUCCCUUGAGCUGGAGUUUGGAUUGAUCUAAUUCUUUAACUCAAACGUGUGCACAGGUUUGAUGAGUGUUUAAAUGCCUGCAUUUUAGUAAAACAGGAACUUAAAUUGACAGUAAUGUGAGGAAUCGCAUAAUUUAUAAUGAACUUGAAAGGCAGGAGCACUCACUGUUGCUCAAGCUAAUCAAGGGACUAUCAAAUCAAGGGUUUAACAUGAGCUUAAAUAUAUGUGGCAGGAGGGUUGUUCUUGCAGGCUUAUAUCUGUCAGAUCUUAACACUAAACCUGUCAGGGUGCAACAUGGCCGUGUCACUUUUAACCAAGAUGUCACAUAUAUUGUGAGAAACAACCUGCUUUGUGUUUUCUUCUCUGGGAUUUUACUGGGAAAAGCAAAUGUAAAAGGGAUUUUUUUUUUUUAACACUGCAUUUUUAUUUUGCAGAUUCUCAGGCUGAUGGAGAGAGUGACGAGUGGGUUGCCAGCUAUAGUCAGCGUGCACAAUGGCUGCGGGGAAUAUAUUCAGACAUGCCCAAGGAGGUCUGCCCAGGGGGAAACACAUACCUUUGAGGUUUAAAUCAGAAAGGAAGGAGAGGCUGUUUCUACAGGUGUCAUAGAAAAAUCAAUAUUGAGCCACGGAUUAUUGGAUCCCAUAGAACCAUGGAGACUUGGCAGUGAAAUUCUUCCAAAGUUUCUCCUAGAUUUUGAAAAGUUGAAAAGCUCAACAUAAUGCAUUGGUUGUUUUCCUGCAUUGCUUAGCAUUCCAUCCUUGCAGGCAGACGGUGUUCCUAGGUUUGGAAGGAUAAAUCCCAGGGGAAGUGAGCUGAAGAACAUUUCAUGCAUCACUCAUCCUAUUAUGAGCCCUGUGCUGUUCCAUCUCUCUACAAGGCUGGCUGAAACAACAGCAGAAAUUGGUGUGUAAUUCGUAUUCUAACUUUGGAUCACCUGGUUAAUACUCUGACUCUGACUACCCAGAAGGACAAUGUUCUAUAAGAAGAACUAUCUGUUAAAAGGCCUGCUGCUGCAUUAUUAAUAAAAUAACAGGGAAAAUGCGAUAAUCUGGAUGUCCCAUCUGAUGAGUUGGCAGUUAAAGAACCGAAACAGCAAUAAGACUGCGCAGGCACAUUUUCCCAGUGCCACCAACUGGGCGUUAAGCUGACUAACGUUUUGAAAGCCCAGCCCAUUUCGUUCACAGCAGGCAAGGCAGCGGUUGACUGAUUGUACCCGCCAGCUGGCUAAUAUCAUAAUUAACAAAGUUGCUACUACAUCUGCAAAGUUUAAUCGAAAAAUUUGCCAGUGAUAUGAUGGCAUUGUCACAAAGAUCACAAGGGACACGGAGUUGACUUUUGCUCAAGGUGGAAUGGCAAAGCUGUAUGGGCAAGAUGAGAAAUCGUGCACUUGUUCAGCCAAAGGUUAUGCUUCAUAUCACCCACCGGGGAGGAUCAUCUCUCAUGAAAACUUCCAAAUUUGAUUUUGAAAAUUAUUCAGAAAAAUUUAAGCCACGCUAUCUCCCACUGUAGGAAAGAAUAUACUCUGGAGGUUCCUAUAAUUCAAAGAAAAUGGACUGGGAUAACAUUUGGGUUUGCAUGCCACCAAAAUCCUCUCGAGAAGGACAGCCAGGUUUUGCUAAAGGAUCACACUGUGGAAUCUACAACCGCGACAAACUUCUGCACUUACUGCCCCUUGAAAAACAAAAUAUUGGCAUGGGAAGGGCUUCUCCUCCUUUUUCCUUUCUCAAAGAGAGAAUCAAAGGAGACCCGGCUGCUGAAACGCCAUCCCACUGUGCCUCCUGCGACGGCGCAUUCUUCUUCCCGUGCUUGCUGUUCAGCUACUUACUUGUUUUGGAAGUUUGAUGAAGGGCGCCGAGUUCUGCCUCUAGUGGCUUCUAUCAUUUUCACAUAAGGAGGCUAAUAAUGAAGGGCCGGGGAAGGAGGCCAGUGCUAGGAGGGUUAUCUCACUGCCUCAGAUGCUGGAUAAGUCGAAGGAAGCAGAAUCGCUUUUGGAUGACAUUCAGAAAGGCCGGAGUGAUUAUUUGGGAGAGAAAAGCUUGCCUAUUCUUUUCCAAGGUGCGUGACUGUUCCCCUGGCCUGCCCAUCCACUGAUGAAUUAUUAGCAACGUGCCUUAGACAAAGGACGCACGGGAGCCCCACCACACCUAGAGCCACGCUUUGAAGGAUCUGCCAAGCUCACUUUUAAUCAUGAGAAAGAAAUUACCCACAUGGAGUCAGCAGAAAAUGAGAAAGUAGAGCUCGUGCUGCGAAUAAUUCCAGCAAGUGCCAAGGGGCUAGUUGAGGAAUGGCUUCAUGAAGUGAAUAUCUUUAGCUUGUACUUAGGGUUUGGUUAGCGUAUAAUCAUUUUCUCUUUUAGGAGCGUUGACUAUCCUCAGUGUCUUUCCUCACUAAAGAGUGCUCAGAGCAUUCGUCAGGAUGUUGACAGAUUUAAUAUCAGUCUCGUCCUUGUUGUUAUUUACUAUGACUAAUUUUACAUGUGCAAAUAUGCAAAAAUCAAUUUAGGCGGAGAGGCGCUCCGGAGCCAACGACUGUUAAUCGCUGUAUGUGUGUGUGUCUCGCUUGCGAGUGGAUGUCCAGUAAUUUCUGUCUCUGUGUGUGUACGUGCCCUUGUUCUUGUCUUCUCUCCGUUGUGCCAUAGGUUGGGAGGUUUGGCCAGCCAAUGCCUUCUCAGAUGUGGUCUGAGGCUUUCAUUUGAUUUUUGGACCAGGAAAAAAAGAAUGUGUCACAUCAUGAUUAAUGGUCAAUCUGAAUUUUCAAUUCAUAUGAAAGGAGAAGGGGGAGGAGGAUAUGAGCCCAGUGAUGAGACUAACCUUUUCCCUUUGGGAAGAGCAUGAUUCAAAUUAAACAUCACUUUCAGUGUGAAAUUAGUUUGAAGGCUUCUUUUUUUUUCUCCCCCCCCCCCCCCCACCCCGUGCCUGGUUUAACUCCAUGGUGGCUGCUCCUGCGGAGAGGACCCUUCCAUCCGGCCUCUGUGCCUGAAUCUGUUCCCAGUAGGCCAUAGUUCCUCUUCUUUUGUUUUAUUUUUCUAAAGACCAGGUCCAAGAAACCAAAAAAAAAAAAAAAAAAAAGAAUAUUUUACUAUAAAAGCAUCAUUAUUCACAAGAUAAGAUUUUCCCCAAAACAUGUUAUUUCUUUGUGUCCCACUUAUGUGUCCAAAAAAGAUAAAUAAAUAAACAAAUAA